GAAGCACUUGCUGCUUCCUGACGAGUGGCGGACGGGUGAGUAAUGUCUGGGAAACUGCCUGAUGGAGGGGGAUAACUACUGGAAACGGUAGCUAAUACCGCAUAACGUCGCAAGACCAAAGAGGGGGACCUUCGGGCCUCUUGCCAUCGGAUGUGCCCAGAUGGGAUUAGCUAGUAGGUGGGGUAACGGCUCACCUAGGCGACGAUCCCUAGCUGGUCUGAGAGGAUGACCAGCCACACUGGAACUGAGACACGGUCCAGACUCCUACGGGAGGCAGCAGUGGGGAAUAUUGCACAAUGGGCGCAAGCCUGAUGCAGCCAUGCCGCGUGUAUGAAGAAGGCCUUCGGGUUGUAAAGUACUUUCAGCGGGGAGGAAGGCGAUAAGGUUAAUAACCUUGUCGAUUGACGUUACCCGCAGAAGAAGCACCGGCUAACUCCGUGCCAGCAGCCGCGGUAAUACGGAGGGUGCAAGCGUUAAUCGGUAUUACUGGGCGUAAAGCGCACGCAGGCGGUCUGUCAAGUCGGAUGUGAAAUCCCCGGGCUCAACCUGGGAACUGCAUUCGAAACUGGCAGCUAGAGUCUUGUAAGGGGGGUAGAAUUCCAGGUGUAGCGGUGAAAUGCGUAGAGAUCUGGAGGAAUACCGGUGGCGAAUGCGGGCCCCCUGGACAAAGACUGACGCUCAGGUGCGAAAGCGUGGGGAGCAAAACAGGAUUAGAUACCCUGGUAGUCCCACGCCGUAAAACCGAUGUCGACUUUGGAAGGUUUGUGGCCCCUUUGAAGGCGGUGGCUUUCCGG
rnacentral:rRNA from 1 species